rnacentral:hammerhead_ribozyme from 1 species
GCACUGUUGAGGAGUCCAAUCAUAGGACGAAACGACCGUCCAGUGC